rnacentral:rRNA from 1 species
AAUUGGGCUCAGAUUGAACGCUGGCGGCAGGCCUAACACAUGCAAGUCGAGCGGUAGCACAGGGAGCUUGCUCCUGGGUGACGAGCGGCGGACGGGUGAGUAAUGUCUGGGAAACUGCCUGAUGGAGGGGGAUAACUACUGGAAACGGUAGCUAAUACCGCAUAACGUCUUCGGACCAAAGAGGGGGACCUUCGGGCCUCUUGCCAUCAGAUGUGCCCAGAUGGGAUUAGCUAGUAGGUGAGGUAAUGGCUCACCUAGGCGACGAUCCCUAGCUGGUCUGAGAGGAUGACCAGCCACACUGGAACUGAGACACGGUCCAGACUCCUACGGGAGGCAGCAGUGGGGAAUAUUGCACAAUGGGCGCAAGCCUGAUGCAGCCAUGCCGCGUGUAUGAAGAAGGCCUUCGGGUUGUAAAGUACUUUCAGCGAGGAGGAAGGCAUUGUGGUUAAUAACCGCAGUGAUUGACGUACUCGCA